UGGGGAAUAUUGCACAAUGGGCGCAAGCCUGAUGCAGCCAUGCCGCGUGUGUGAAGAAGGCCUUCGGGUUGUAAAGCACUUUCAGCGAGGAGGAAGGUGGUGAACUUAAUACGUUCAUCAAUUGACGUUACUCGCAGAAGAAGCACCGGCUAACUCCGUGCCAGCAGCCGCGGUAAUACGGAGGGUGCAAGCGUUAAUCGGAAUUACUGGGCGUAAAGCGCACGCAGGCGGUUUGUUAAGUCAGAUGUGAAAUCCCCGGGCUCAACCUGGGAACUGCAUUUGAAACUGGCAAGCUAGAGUCUCGUAGAGGGGGGCUAGAAUUCCAGGUGUAGCGGUGAAAUGCGUAGAGAUCUGGAGGAAUACCGGUGGCGAAGGCGGCCCCCUGGACGAAGACUGACGCUCAGGUGCGAAAGGCGUGGGGGCAGCAAACAGGAUUAGAUACCCUGGUAGUCCACGCUGUAAACGAUGUCGAUUUU
rnacentral:rRNA from 1 species